CCAAGCUCCCUCCACAGAAGUGCUUGGGCUCUCUGGUGGCUCCUCUGGACCUGCUAUUCUAGUCCAAGUCCAUUGUUUUGCUGAUGAGAACACUGAGGUCCGGGGAGGUUGUGACCUGGACAGAGCUGACAGCAGGCAACUGCUGUCUGGAAGAGGAUGAUCCUCUUUCUGAUGUAUCGUUAGGUCAAUCGUAGCCGAAUGCUGUAGUGUCUCCGUCACUCACCUGACUUCAUCUCAUCAUGUAGGCAUUUUGUCAUCUCCCAUCAUCACGAGAAAA